rnacentral:rRNA from 1 species
GAUGAACGCUGGCGGCGUGCCUAAUACAUGCAAGUCGAACGCGAGAGGAGGGAGCUUGCUCCCUCUGAUCGAGUGGCGGACGGGUGAGUAACACGUAGGCAACCUGCCCAUCAGCCGGGGAUAACUGCGGGAAACCGUGGCUAAUACCGGAUAAUCCUCUCCACCGCGGGGUGGGGAGUUGAAAGACGGUUUCGGCUGUCGCUGAUGGAUGGGCCUGCGGCGCAUUAGCUGGUUGGCGGGGUAACGGCCCACCAAGGCAACGAUGCGUAGCCGGCCUGAGAGGGGGAUCGGCCACACUGGGAGUGAGACACGGCCCAGACUCCUACGGGAGGCAGCAGUAGGGAAUCUUCCGCAAUGGACGCAAGUCUGACGGAGCAACGCCGCGUGAGUGAAGAAGGGUUUCGGCUCGUAAAACUCUGUUGUUAAGGAAGAACGCCAGGUAGAGUAACUGCUACCUGUGUGACGGUACUUAACCAGAAAGCCACGGCUAACUACGUGCCAGCCGCCGCCGUAA